rnacentral:rRNA from 1 species
GCAGCCGCGGUAAUUCCAGCUCCAAUAGCGUAUAUUAAAGUUGUUGCAGUUAAAAAGCUCGUAGUUGAAUUUCGGGGUCAGUAGGUUGGUCGUGCCAAUGGUACGUACUGGCUUCACUGAUUCCUCCUUCUUGUAGAACUGUGAUGUCAUUAAUUUGGUUGUUGCAGGGAAACAGGACUUGUUACUUUGAAAAAAUUAGAGUGUUUAAAGCAGGCUAACGCGUGAAUACAUUAGCAUGGAAUAAUGAAAUAGGACGUUUCGAUUCUAUUUUGUUGGUUUUCUAGGAUUGACGUAAUGAUUAAUAGGGAUAGUUGGG